AUACGGAGGAUCCGAGCGUUAUCCGGAUUUAUUGGGUUUAAAGGGUGCGCAGGCGGCCAUUUAAGUCAGCGGUUAAAUCGUGGGGCUCAACCCCAUUCUGCCGUUGAUACUGGGUGGCUUGAUUGCGGCCGAGGUUGGCGGAAUUCGUUGUGUAGCGGUGAAAUGCAUAGAUAUGACGAAGAACACCGAUUGCGUAGGCAGCUGACCAGACCGCAAAUGACGCUCAUGCACGAAAGUGCGGGGAUCGAACAGGAUUAGAUACCCUGGUAGUCCGCACAGUAAACGAUGAAUACUUGUUUUCGGCGAUAUAAUGUCGGAGGCAAAGCGAAAGCGAUAAGUAUUCCACCUGGGGAGUACGCCGGCAACGGUGAAACUCAAAUGAAUUGACGG
rnacentral:rRNA from 1 species